rnacentral:antisense_RNA from 1 species
UUGAAACUGUUCUGCGAUUUGCAUCACUGUUUUUUGGGUACCAACAGCACUACUUCUCG